UGAGAUUACGCCACUGCACUUCAGCCUGGGUGACAGAGGGAGACCAUGUCUCUAAAAAAAAUUACAUGUGAGUGAGAGCUUUUCUUCCAGUGCUCAUGCUCAGACUGAAGAAAGUAAUUGGGCCGGCCUGGUAACUCACGCCCUUAAUCCUAGCACUUUGGGAGGCCGAGGUGGGCAGAUCCCUUGAGCUCAGGCGUUCCAGACUAGCUUGAGCAACAUGGUGAAAUUCGGGCAGGCAGAUCACCUGAGGUCAGGAGUUUGAAACCAACCUGGCCAACAUUGUAAACCCCGUCUCUACUAAAAAUA
rnacentral:lncRNA from 1 species